AAUUACUCUUAUUUUUUUACACUCAUUUAUUCUAUAGUGCCUAAGUAGAAUUUCUCAAAUUUAUAAAGAAAAACUUCAAAAACCCUCCAGUAGUUUCGUAGUUUCUUAUUUUGCUCUCCUGUGGUUUAAAAUGUAUUAAUUUGCCCCAUGUGGUUUCGUUUUUAUCUUUUCGAUAAUUUUUUCGUUAAUAUUUUAUUAAAUUAUAUAUAAAAAACUUCAGAUACCUAGCUAGAUUUAUCAAAUAUUUACUUUAGUACCCUUUAAUUUUAACUUUAUUAAUAAUUUAAGAAAAAAAAUAAUAAAAUUAAUAAGAAAAAGAGAAAAAAAUAUUAUAGAUGGGUAAAUUGGAGUAGGGCUAGAAUACUUGUAAAAGUAUCAUGGGGGUGAUACUUGUGUGUUUUUAGCCCUUGGAUGGAGAGAUGUGAGGUUGAGAUGAUGGUGGUAGGUGGUGGUAGAUGGAAUAGUGUUUAAUCCAAUGGCUAUUAAUAAUCAAAAAGUAGAUCCAAGAUCUCUUUUAANUGAUACUUAUAAAAGUAUCAUAGCUCAACUCGGUAAAUUGAUACAUUUUAAACUACAUGGCGGUAAAGUGAGAAACUACGAAACAACGUGGAGGUUUUUUGAAGUUUUCCCAAU
rnacentral:lncRNA from 1 species